GAUGAACGCUGGCGGCGUGCCUAAUACAUGCAAGUCGAGCGAACAGAUGGGGAGCUUGCUCCUCUGACGUUAGCGGCGGACGGGUGAGUAACACGUGGAUAACCUACCUAUAAGACUGGGAUAACUUCGGGAAACCGGAGCUAAUACCGGAUAAUAUAUUGAACCGCAUGGUUCAAUAGUGAAAGACGGUUUUGCUGUCACUUAUAGAUGGAUCCGCGCCGCAUUAGCUAGUUGGUAAGGUAACGGCUUACCAAGGCAACGAUGCGUAGCCGACCUGAGAGGGUGAUCGGCCACACUGGAACUGAGACACGGUCCAGACUCCUACGGGAGGCAGCAGUAGGGAAUCUUCCGCAAUGGGCGAAAGCCUGACGGAGCAACGCCGCGUGAGUGAUGAAGGUCUUCGGAUCGUAAAACUCUAUUAUUAGGGAAGAACAAAUGUGUAAGUAACUAUGCACGUCUUGACGGUACCUAAUCAGAAAGCCACGGCUAACUACGUG
rnacentral:rRNA from 1 species